AAACUUUAAAGCUCUAAGAAGCAUUUUAUUUACAAUAAAAAGGUUAUUUUUUUAAAAUAUAAAGUUUA
rnacentral:tRNA from 1 species